rnacentral:lncRNA from 1 species
AUGCACUUAUUUUUGCAUUGACUUCAUUAUUUUGAAGAGCUGAUUAAGGCAUUUUAGCUAUGGGUAAGGUUUGCCAAGAGGUAUGUGUUGAUUUCAUGGGAUUUCUCAUGGCCCUUGUUAUUGCUCUCUCUCUCAUGCUCAUUUGUUCUUCUCCUAGGAGGAGGGUUAUGGUGUGCCACUUUCCUUGACAUAUUUCUCAGAAGCUAUUAUCAGUUCAGUCAUGGCUAGAAUCAGCCACUGAUUCAUGUGAAUCUAAGUUUUUUCUUCACUAGUUUUUGUGUGCAUAGGCUAAAUGUUCAUUCCAAUGGUUGUAUCACCCUUGUGUGGUUUUUAUCUUGUGUAAACCAUAUUGCAGAAAGGAAAUAAAUGAAUAAACCAUGUUCCAAGAAA